UCACGUUCUUGAUUUAUAGUAGUUCAUUUGUGCAACUAGAUUGGUGUUUUAGUAAACAUGUAAACUUUGUCAUACUGGCUAACAAGUCUCACAGAGAAGUUAAUUUACAAGCCAUACUUGAUACCUUUGAGAUAAACCUAAACAAGACCAUGAAAAAUAAUAGUACAAAUCAAGUUAGAUACAAAUAGAAAAGUUGUCACUUCCUUUUUUGGAUGUUAAGUAAUGGGGUUGUUCUCAUUUCCAAAAUAGAUAAUCAGCUCAUUUCAUCAAAGUACAAACUCAACCUUGUACUUUGCUUCUCCAGUCUUCCCAAUGCAAGU
rnacentral:lncRNA from 1 species